UCGGCAACGGAUAUCUCGGCUCUCGCAUCGAUGAAGAACGUAGCGAAAUGCGAUACUUGGUGUGAAUUGCAGAAUCCGUGAACCAUCGAGUCUUUGAACGCAAGUUGCGCCUGAAGCCAUUAGGCUGAAGGCACGUCUGCCUGGGCGUCAC
rnacentral:rRNA from 1 species